rnacentral:rRNA from 1 species
CGCACGGGUGAGUAACACGUGAGUGACCUGCCUUUUAGACUGGAACAACUUACCGAAAGGUGAGCUAAUGCCGGAUGAGUUUUAUAAGUGCAUGUUUAUAUAGGAAAAGUUGGGGAGACCUGACGCUGAAAGAUGGACUCGCGUCCCAUUGGCUAGUUGGUAGGGUAAUGGCCUACCAAGGCGACGAUGGGUAGCCGGCCUGAGAGGGUGGCCGGCCACACUGGGACUGAGACACGGCCCAGACUCCUACGGGAGGCAGCAG